GGGUUGUGAGGUUAAGCGACUAAGCGUACACGGUGGAUGCCCUGGCAGUCAGAGGCGAUGAAGGACGUGCUAAUCUGCGAUAAGCGCCGGUAAGGUGAUAUGAACCGUUAUAACCGGCGAUACCCGAAUGGGGAAACCCAGUGUGAUUCGUCACACUAUCAUUAACUGAAUCCAUAGGUUAAUGAGGCGAACCGGGGGAACUGAAACAUCUAAGUACCCCGAGGAAAAGAAAUCAACCGAGAUUCCCCCAGUAGCGGCGAGCGAACGGGGAGGAGCCCAGAGCCUGAAUCAGCAUGUGUGUUAGUGGAAGCGUCUGGAAAGGCGCGCGAUACAGGGUGACAGCCCCGUACACAAAAGCGCAUGUGCUGUGAGCUCGAUGAGUAGGGCGGGACACGUGGUAUCCUGUCUGAAUAUGGGGGGACCAUCCUCCAAGGCUAAAUACUCCUGACUGACCGAUAGUGAACCAGUACCGUGAGGGAAAGGCGAAAAGAACCCCGGCGAGGGGAGUGAAAAAGAACCUGAAACCGUGUACGUACAAGCAGUGGGAGCACAGGUUUACCUGUGUGACUGCGUACCUUUUGUAUAAUGGGUCAGCGACUUAUAUUCUGUAGCAAGGUUAACCGUAUAGGGGAGCCGGAGGGAAACCGAGUCUUAA
rnacentral:rRNA from 1 species